rnacentral:rRNA from 1 species
UACGGGGGGAGCAAGCGUUGUUCGGAUUUACUGGGCGUAAGGGGCGCGUAGGCGGCCACCGCAAGUCGACUGUGAAAUCUCCGGGCUUAACCCGGAAAGGUCAGCCGAUACUGCGGGGCCAGAGUGCAGAAGGGGCAACUGGAAUUCUCGGUGUAGCGGUGAAAUGCGUAGAUAUCGAGAGGAACACCUGCGGCGAAGGCGGGUUGCUGGGCUGACACUGACGCUGAGGCGCGAAAGCUAGGGGAGCGAACGGG